AUGGUGCACCCCAUCGAGCAAGGCACACUUCUCCGGCGACACCUAAACCCCACCCCCUCGACGUUAUUUCACGGGAACAAACCCACCGGCUCCUGUCUUGUUACUUCGACAUGCACAACCGGCAAGAAAAGAGAGUGAGACAGCGGCUGUGGAGGUGGUUGAGCUAGAGAGAAGCGACGGAGCAGUCCGGCGACUGCCGUCGGCGGCGGCGACAUGUCGGGUUACCGGCGUAAGUGGUGCAGGUUCAGUCGAGCCUUGUUUCGGCCUGGGUUUCAGCGGCGGUGACUCGCUUCAUUUCGGGGCAUGUCCAGGUUCGGUUCCGUCAGUUCAGAUCGAGUCGGAUUUUGGCACCGAAUUGUUUCAGUUCCGGUUUCGGGUUCAAGUUUCGGCCGACGUCAACCAGCUUUAGUUGACAUCAGUUAGGUUUGUAUUCAUUACAGGUCACGGCUAGUCAAACAGUAAACACGGAUCAGUUUUAUUGUCGGGUCAACGAUUUCGUUUCGGUCAACAGCAGUCAACUGCGGUCAACGUUCCAGUUCUAGUCUCAGCUCAGUUUCUAUUCGGGUCAAACCUGGUCCAAGUCAGUCAAACCCGGUCAACGCAAGGCCAAACCGGUUAUCUGAUCGAUACACGUUAAACACGAGACUUGGUUUGAUAAUGGGUAAUCACUCUCGUGCGUUCGGUUUUUCCUAUCUUUUCCCUCGCGCGUUAUUUCAAGGAAUCUCCAUACGCAAACACGAUGAGCAUACUCGACCCCUUUUUUUACACUUUAACGCGUUUUGGGGUGCAACAUGUAUCAUUUAACAAAAAUUCAUAUUAUACGAAAUCAAACGUAUUCCCGAUAUGCUUACGUUAGUUAUGCACGCUAGUUUCAGUUUGUACGUACAUGUUAUUUGUGACGCUUGUGUUAGUUAUACUUGCUAGUUUCAACUUGUAUUCCUAUGAUAUUGUUAUGCUUAGGCCGUUUAUGCAU
rnacentral:lncRNA from 1 species